rnacentral:rRNA from 1 species
CCUACGGGAGGCAGCAGUGAGGAAUAUUGGUCAAUGGACGAGAGCCUGAACCAGCCAAGUAGCGUGAAGGAUGACUGCCCUAUGGGUUGUAAACUUCUUUUAUAUGGGAAUAAAAUGUUCCACGUGUGGGAUUUUGUAUGUACCUUAUGAAUAAGGAUCGGCUAACUCCGUGCCAGCAGCCGCGGUAAUACGGAGGAUCCGAGCGUUAUCCGGAUUUAUUGGGUUUAAAGGGAGCGUAGGUGGAUUGUUAAGUCAGUUGUGAAAGUUUGCGGCUCAACCGUAAAAUUGCAGUUGAAACUGGCAGUCUUGAGUACAGUAGAGGUGGGCGGAAUUCGUGGUGUAGCGGUGAAAUGCUUAGAUAUCACGAAGAACUCCGAUUGCGAAGGCAGCUCACUGGACUGCAACUGACAUUGAGGCUCGAAAGUGUGGGUAUCAAACAGGAUUAGAUACCCCUGUAGUC